GAAUUCAAGGGGAAAAGUCUGGACCAAAUCUUGAUCAGCUCAGAUGACCAAUCUGUAGUUGUGGAAAAAAGCUCAGGGGAGUCAUCUGAAGAUGAAGAUCCAGCUGCUCCAGCAGGAGAGGAACCUGUGACCAGAUGUAAGAAAGGCACUUCAAAGCAGCAGCCUGUAGAGGAGC